CCUACGGGCGGCAGUGGGGAAUAUUGGACAAUGGGCGAAAGCCUGAUCCAGCAAUGCCGCGUGAGUGAUGAAGGCCCUAGGGUUGUAAAGCUCUUUUACCCGGGAUGAUAAUGACAGUACCGGGAGAAUAAGCCCCGGCUAACUCCGUGCCAGCAGCCGCGGUAAUACGGAGGGGGCUAGCGUUGUUCGGAAUUACUGGGCGUAAAGCGCGCGUAGGCGGCUUCGCAAGUCAGAGGUGAAAGCCCGGAGCUUAACUCCGGAAUUGCCUUUGAGACUGCGUCGCUAGAAUCCGGGAGAGGUGAGUGGAAUUCCGAGUGUAGAGGUGAAAUUCGUAGAUAUUCGGAAGAACACCAGUGGCGAAGGCGGCUCACUGGACCGGUAUUGACGCUGAGGUGCGAAAGCGUGGGGAGCAAACA
rnacentral:rRNA from 1 species